rnacentral:tRNA from 2 species
GGGAUGCUAGCUCAAUGGUAGAGCUGCGGACUUUUAAUCCGUAGGUUCGGGGUUCGAGCCCCCGGCGUCCCACCA